rnacentral:rRNA from 1 species
UACGGGGGGGGCAAGCGUUGUUCGGAAUUACUGGGCGUAAAGGGCGCGUAGGCGGUUCGCUAAGUUGGAUGUGAAAACUCUGGGCUCAACCCAGAGCCUGCAUCCAAAACUGGCGGGCUAGAGUUCUGGAGGGGGUAGCGGAAUUCCUGGUGUAGCGGUGAAAUGCGUAGAUAUCAGGAGGAACACCAAUGGCGAAGGCAGCUCGCUGGGACGUGACUGACGCUGAGACGCGAAAGCGUGGGGAGCGAACAGG